UACGUAGGGGGCUAGCGUUGUCCGGAUUUAUUGGGCGUAAAGAGCGUGUAGGCGGCCAGGUAGGUCUGCUGUGAAAACUCGAGGCUCAACCUCGAGACGUCGGCGGAAACCAUCUGGCUAGAGUCCGGAAGAGGAGAGUGGAAUUCCCGGUGUAGUGGUGGAAUGCGUAGAUAUCGGAAGGAACGCCGGUGGCGAAAGCGGCGCACUGGAUCUCUACUGACGCUGAGGCGCGAAAGCCAGGGGAGCAAACGGG
rnacentral:rRNA from 1 species